GACGAACGCUGGCGGCGUGCUUAACACAUGCAAGUCGAACGGAAAGGCCCUGCUUUUGUGGGGUGCUCGAGUGGCGAACGGGUGAGUAACACGUGAGUAACCUGCCCUUGACUUUGGGAUAACUUCAGGAGACUGGGGCUAAUACCGGAUAGGAGCUCCUGCUGCAUGGUGUUGGUUGGAAAAUUUCGGCGGUUGGGGAUGGACUCGCGGCUUAUCAGCUUGUUGGUGGGGUAGUGGCUUACCAAGGCUUUGACGGGUAGCCGGCCUGAGAGGGUGACCGGCGACAUUGGGACUGAGAUACGGCCCAGACUCCUACGGGAGGCAGCAGUGGGGAAUAUUGCACAAUGGGCGGAAGCCUGAUGCAGCAACGCCGCGUGCGGGAUGACGGCCUUCGGGUUGUAAACCGCUUUCGCCUGUGACGAAGCGUGAGUGACGGUAAUGGGUAAAGAAGCACCGGCUAACUACGUG
rnacentral:rRNA from 1 species